AUUGAACGCUGGCGGCAUGCCUUACACAUGCAAGUCGAACGGCAGCACGGGUGCUUGCACCUGGUGGCGAGUGGCGAACGGGUGAGUAAUACAUCGGAACAUGUCCUGUAGUGGGGGAUAGCCCGGCGAAAGCCGGAUUAAUACCGCAUACGAUCUACGGAUGAAAGCGGGGGACCUUCGGGCCUCGCGCUAUAGGGUUGGCCGAUGGCUGAUUAGCUAGUUGGUGGGGUAAAGGCCUACCAAGGCGACGAUCAGUAGCUGGUCUGAGAGGACGACCAGCCACACUGGGACUGAGACACGGCCCAGUCUCCUACGGGAGGCAGCAGUGGGGAAUUUUGGACAAUGGGCGAAAGCCUGAUCCAGCAAUGCCGCGUGUGUGAAGAAGGCCUUCGGGUUGUAAAGCACUUUUGUCCGGAAAGAAAUCCUUGGCCCUAAUACGGUCGGGGGAUGACGGUACCGGAAGAAUAAGCACCGGCUAACUACGUG
rnacentral:rRNA from 1 species